rnacentral:rRNA from 1 species
UGGGGAAUAUUGCACAAUGGGCGCAAGCCUGAUGCAGCCAUGCCGCGUGUAUGAAGAAGGCCUUCGGGUUGUAAAGUACUUUCAGCGGGGAGGAAGGGAGUAAAGUUAAUACCUUUGCUCAUUGACGUUACCCGCAGAAGAAGCAACGGCUAACUCCGUGCCAGCAGCCGCGGUAAUACGGAGGGUGCAAGCGUUAAUCGGAAUUACUGGGCGUAAAGCGCACGCAGGCGGUUUGUUAAGUCAGAUGUGAAAUCCCCGGGCUCAACCUGGGAACUGCAUCUGAUACUGGCAAGCUUGAGUCUCGUAGAGGGGGGUAGAAUUCCAGGUGUAGCGGUGAAAUGCGUAGAGAUCUGGAGGAAUACCGGUGGCGAAGGCGGCCCCCUGGACGAAGACUGACGCUCAGGUGCGAAAGCGUGGGGAGCAAACAGG